AGCGCACACGGUGGAUGCCUAGGCGGUCAGAGGCGAUGAAGGACGUGGUAGCCUGCGAAAAGUGUCGGGGAGCUGGCAACAAGCUUUGAUCCGGCAAUAUCCGAAUGGGGAAACCCACUGCUUCGGCAGUAUCCUGCAGUGAAUUCAUAGCUGCUGGAAGCGAACCCGGUGAACUGAAAUAUCUAAGUAACCGGAGGAAAAGAAAUCAACCGAGAUUCCCUAAGUAGUGACGAGCGAACGGGGAGCAGCCCUUAAGCUGGAAUGGCUUUAGAAAAACAAUCUGGAAAGAUUGGCCAUAGAAGGUGAUAGCCCUGUAUUUAAAAGGGCCACUCCAGUGAAGACGAGUAGGGCGGGGCACGUGAAACCCUGUCUGAAUAUGGGGGGACCAUCCUCCAAGGCUAAAUACUCCUGACCGACCGAUAGUGAACCAGUACCGUGAGGGAAAGGCGAAAAGAACCCCGGAGAGGGGAGUGAAAUAGAUCCUGAAACCGUGUGCGUACAAGCAGUAGGAGCUCGCAAGAGUGACUGCGUACCUUUUGUAUAAUGGGUCAGCGACUUACUGUUCGUGGCAAGCUUAACCGUAUAGGGGAGGCGAAGGGAAACCGAGUCUGAUAAGGGCGCAUAGUCGCGGGCAGUAGACCCGAAACCGGGUGAUCUAGUCAUGGCCAGGGUGAAGGUGCCGUAACAGGUACUGGAGGCCCGAACCCACGUCUGUUGCAAAAGACGGGGAUGAGCUGUGAUUAGGAGUGAAAAGCUAAUCGAACCCGGAGAUAGCUGGUUCUCCUCGAAAGCUAUUUAGGUAGCGCCUCGGACGAAUACUACUGGGGGUAGAGCACUGUUAUGGCUAGGGGGUCAUCGCGACUUACCAAACCAUUGCAAACUCCGAAUACCAGUACGUACUAUCCGGGAGACACACGGCGGGUGCUAACGUCCGUCGUGAAAAGGGAAACAACCCAGACCCACAGCUAAGGUCCCAAAUUCACUGCUAAGUGGAAAACGAUGUGGAAAGGCAUAGACAGCCAGGAGGUUGGCUUAGAAGCAGCCACCCUUUAAAGAAAGCGUAAUAGCUCACUGGUCGAGUCGGUCUGCGCGGAAGAUUUAACGGGGCUAAGCAGUGAACCGAAGCUUGGGGUGCAUAAAACUUGUUUUAUGCGCGGUAGAGGAGCGUUCCGUAAGCCUGCGAAGGUGGAUUGAGAAGUCUGCUGGAGGUAUCGGAAGUGCGAAUGCUGACAUGAGUAACGAUAAUGCGGGUGAAAAGCCCGCACGCCGAAAGCCCAAGGUUUCCUUGCGCAACGUUAAUCGACGCAGGGUUAGUCGGUCCCUAAGGCGAGGGCGAAAGCCGUAGUCGAUGGGAAGCAGGUUAAUAUUCCUGCACCUCGCGUGAGUGCGAUGGAGGGACGGAGAAGGUUAGGUGUACCGGGCGUUGGUUGUCCCGGGGAAAGGCGGUAGGUUUGGAUCUUUGGCAAAUCCGGGGUCCUUUAAGACCGAGCACCGAGACGAGCCUUUAUGGCGAAGUCACUGAUACCACGCUUCCAGGAAAAGCUCCUAAGCUUCAGCUCACGAAGACCGUACCGUAAACCGACACAGGUGGGUAGGAUGAGAAUUCUCAGGCGCUUGAGAGAACUCGGGUGAAGGAACUAGGCAACAUGGCACCGUAACUUCGGGAGAAGGUGCACCCUUUUUGGUGGCUCAUGCGAGCUAUAGCUGAAGAGGGUCGCAGAAACCAGGCCGCUGCGACUGUUUAUCAAAAACACAGCACUCUGCAAACACGAAAGUGGACGUAUAGGGUGUGACGCCUGCCCGGUGCUGGAAGGUUAAUUGAUGGGGUCAGCCGCAAGGCGAAGCUCUUGAUCGAAGCCCCAGUAAACGGCGGCCGUAACUAUAACGGUCCUAAGGUAGCGAAAUUCCUUGUCGGGUAAGUUCCGACCUGCACGAAUGGCGUAACGACAGCGGCGCUGUCUCCACCCGAGACUCAGUGAAAUUGAAAUCGCUGUGAAGAUGCAGCGUUCCCGUGGCAAGACGGAAAGACCCCGUGAACCUUUACUAUAGCUUUACACUGAACGUUGAGUUCGUCUGUGUAGGAUAGGUGGGAGGCUAUGAAACUGUGGCGCUAGCUGCAGUGGAGCCAUCCUUGAAAUACCACCCUGUCGUGCUUGACGUUCUAACCUAGAUCCGUUAUCCGGAUCAGGGACCGUGUAUGGUGGGUAGUUUGACUGGGGCGGUCUCCUCCUAAAGAGUAACGGAGGAGCACGAAGGUACGCUCAGCGCGGUCGGACAUCGCGCACUGUGUGCAAAGGCAUAAGCGUGCUUGACUGCAAGAUCGACGGAUCAAGCAGGUACGAAAGUAGGUCUUAGUGAUCCGGUGGUUCUGUAUGGAAGGGCCAUCGCUCAACGGAUAAAAGGUACUCCGGGGAUAACAGGCUGAUACCGCCCAAGAGUUCAUAUCGACGGCGGUGUUUGGCACCUCGAUGUCGGCUCAUCACAUCCUGGGGCUGUAGUCGGUCCCAAGGGUAUGGCUGUUCGCCAUUUAAAGUGGUACGCGAGCUGGGUUCAGAACGUCGUGAGACAGUUCGGUCCCUAUCUGCCAUGGGCGUUGGAAGUUUGAGAGGGGCUGCUCCUAGUACGAGAGGACCGGAGUGGACGAACCUCUGGUGUUCCGGUUGUCACGCCAGUGGCAUUGCCGGGUAGCUAUGUUCGGAAGCGAUAACCGCUGAAAGCAUCUAAGCGGGAAGCGCGCCUCAAGAUGAGACUUCCCGGGGCACAAGCCCCCUAAAGGAACCAUAUAGACUAUGUGGUUGA
rnacentral:rRNA from 1 species